UCUGUCGCCGUAAAAAAUUGUGACGACAUAGCAUUUUUUAGUCGACGUUGAUAUUGUAAGCAUUUUGUAUUUGAUAUUUGAGCAUCAAAAUAACAACAGCAAAACAAUUUGAAAUUUUGGUUUCCGAAUUGGAAAAAAAUCCAUGUUUGGUAAAAGGGUUUACCAAAGGUCAUGUUCCAGCUAAUUUUAAAUCUGAUUGGGAAUCUAUUGCUACAAAAUUAAAUGUAAACGGGCCUCCGAUUAGAGACUCCGAUGGCUGGCAAAAAGUUUGGAAAAAUUUAAAACUAAAAAGAAACUUGUGCACAACAAAGAUGAAACCAGCAGCACUGGAGGUGGCAUUUUUAAGCAAAUGACUGUCGCCAUUGGAUGAGUCUGCCGCUAAUAUAAUGCAGUUUCAAAAGUUACUGAACAGACCAGGUGGUGCACUUGGAAUAGAAAAUAAGGAAAACAUAAGG